rnacentral:rRNA from 1 species
GACGAACGCUGGCGGCGUGCUUAACACAUGCAAGUCGAACGGUGAAGUGAUCAGCUUGCUGGUUCUGGAUGAGUGGCGAACGGGUGAGUAACACGUGAGUAACCUGCCCCCUUCUUCUGGAUAACCGCAUGAAAGUGUGGCUAAUACGGGAUAUUCUGUUUCUGUCGCAUGAUGGGUCUGGGAAAGAGAUUUUUUCGUUGGUUGAUGGUCUCGCGGCCUAUCAGCUUGUUGGUGGGGUGAUGGCCUACCAAGGCGGUGACGGGGAGCCGGCCUGGGAGGGUGGACGAUUAGACCGGAACUGCGACACAGCCCAGAAUCGUACGGAAGGCAGCAGUGGGGAAUAUUGCACAAUGGGCGCAAGCCUGAUGCAGCGACGCCGCGUGAGGGAUGGAGGCCUUCGGGUUGUACACCUAUUAGGCAAGUGAAGCAGGCUUGCUACUUGUGGGUGGGUUGACGGCAGCUGGAUAAGAAGCGCCGGCUAACUACGUG